AUCAAGCUUCCUGGAGGAGGUCCUCCCAGGGGAAUAAAGCUACAAACAUGUCCUUCUUUGGCUGCAUUUCCACGUCUGAUCUACAGUUGUAUAUGUUUCACUUUCUAAACACGGAUGGUUUUGACUUUCAGCUGAUCAGAAACAGACUUCUGAAGCCGACGAACGUCAAGUGACCCACUUUCCUGAAGUGACCAAAAGCAGAUCAUCUUCCAUCCACUUAUGAUUUGGGCGUGGAUUCGGCUGAUAAAUGCACAGCCACACACACCAGGACAGCAGGGACGAAUGCCUCAAGCCACCAUUUUGCUUUGCAUUAAUACAACCUGCCUCCAGCUAAAUUACCUGCAUGCCGCACACACUCCUACAUCCGGCUGCCUGUAAAACGGUGCUAGUUAGACGGAUAAACCAAUCUGAGAGGAGUCUGACUUUAAUUUGACGUGAACUUCCGCUCCCCGAGGCCGGCGAUCCUGUCCCAAAACCCGGAGAGCCACCGAGAGAACCCGGUGAUCCAGUGCCAAUCCC